GUGGGGAAUCUUGCGCAAUGGGCGAAAGCCUGACGCAGCCAUGCCGCGUGAAUGAUGAAGGUCUUAGGAUUGUAAAAUUCUUUCACCGGGGACGAUAAUGACGGUACCCGGAGAAGAAGCUCCGGCUAACUUCGUACCAGCAGCCGCGGUAAUACGAAGGGGGCUAGCGUUGCUCGGAAUUACUGGGCGUAAAGGGCGCGUAGGCGGACAGCUUAGUCAGAGGUGAAAGCCCAGGGCUCAACCUUGGAAUUGCCUUUGAUACUGGCUGUCUUGAGUUUGGGAGAGGUGAGUGGAACUCCGAGUGUAGAGGUGAAAUUCGUAGAUAUUCGGAAGAACACCAGUGGCGAAGGCGACUCACUGGCCCAAUACUGACGCUGAGGCGCGAAAGCGUGGGGAGCAAACAGGAUUAGAAACCCCGGUAGUCC
rnacentral:rRNA from 1 species